UUUUUUUUCCCCCCAACUCAGAUAUAUGAGCUGGGCUCUACAUACUUCAGGAACCUUUGGAAAAUGCUGCAUAUUUGUGUUUCAGCUGUGAGAUAUCUUCAGCUUCCAGGUAACAGCUUUGUACCUGGAAGGUAAUUCCUGAAGAAGAGCCUCAGCCCUGAUAACUACAAGCAAGUGGUUUGCCAAGUUCAAACUUCAGGACAUUUCCACUGCUGGAGCUGCUCUUGCCGUGGACUAAUGAAGACAUCACAGGGAGUGAACCACAAGACACUCGUGUCUGGAAGACAAACAUCAGCCUGGGUGAUAUGCAAGCUAGCAAAUACCAGAAAGAAUUUGGAGUAAAGAAGUUUUGGGCCUUGUUUAAAUUGUUUCUGCUGACAAGGUUUACCAUUCCUCAGCCUGAAUACGUAUCCAUUAUUGGGUUUUGUGUGAAGGAGCUGACGUUUACCAAGGUUGCUACUGUUACUAUCACAGUAAGUCAAAACAGUUCCGAGACAAGUGCUCCCAGUACCAAACUGAUCUGUAACAGCCUGGAACAGUUUGAGGACUGUUAAUGUUGACUUCAUCUCAUUGGGUACAGUGUCUAUUGAAUGGCUCCCCUGGCCUCCUCUGAUAGGUGUUUGCUCCACUGCUUCACACAGAAAAGUGUUCAAAUCCCUGUACAGUGUUGUAGCAGGGAAGAUAAAAAACAGCUGGUCUGGAGGGUAAAAAAGCCCUUUGUACAGGAAGCCAAUGGGAAGCACCUUGUUCUCAUUUAUUUAGGAAGUUUAUUCAUCCUCCUACAGAAACUCCUGGUUCCAAAAUUUAGUUGUUAUAUGGAAGAGUCCUUGCUGGGGAU